UUCUGGAUUGCUGGAGUGUAAGACACAC
rnacentral:sRNA from 1 species